CGGGGUAUAGCGCAGUUAGGUAGCGCGCCUGCUUUGGGAGCAGGAUGUCAGGAGUUCGAAUCCCCUUACCCCGA
rnacentral:tRNA from 1 species